rnacentral:rRNA from 1 species
CUACGGGAGGCAGCAGUGGGGAAUUUUCCGCAAUGGGCGAAAGCCUGACGGAGCAACGCCGCGUGAGGGAUGAAGGCCUCUGGGCUGUAAACCUCUUUUAUCAAGGAAGAAGAUCUGACGGUACUUGAUGAAUAAGCCACGGCUAAUUCCGUGCCAGCAGCCGCGGUAAUACGGGAGUGGCAAGCGUUAUCCGGAAUUAUUGGGCGUAAAGCGUCCGCAGGCGGUCUGUCAAGUCUGCUGUUAAAGCGUGGAGCUUAACUCCAUUUCGGCAGUGGAAACUGACAGACUAGAGUGUGGUAGGGGCAGAGGGAAUUCCCGGUGUAGCGGUGAAAUGCGUAGAUAUCGGGAAGAACACCAGUGGCGAAGGCGCUCUGCUGGGCCAUAACUGACGCUCAUGGACGAAAGCCAGGGGAGCGAAAGGGAUUAGAUACCCCUGUAGUCCUGGCCGUAAACGAUGAACACUAGGUGUCGGGGGAAUCGACCCCCUCGGUGUCGUAGCCAACGCGUUAAGUGUUCCGCCUGGGGAGUACGCACGCAAGUGUGAAACUCAAAG